ACCUUCCGGAAGUCAGGGCCGCGGCGCUUCUGGUCCCGGAGACUUGGGGCUCCCGGGCUUCUGAGCGGCUCGGGUUCCGCGCUGCCGGCAGGGCUUGGGGGCGCCUUAGAGCCGAACCCCGUUUUUUCAGGAAAGGGCGCUGCGACCACCCCCGUCCCGGGCCUCAGCCCCUCUGCUGCAGACCCUCGGGAUCGUCGCUGGAAAGAUUCUGAAGCUUGGCGGAGAGGGGUGUGUGAGUGGACACCAGUGAAGUAACGGUUUUUGUGUUACGAUGAUUUCUGUUUUCCUCUGCUGCCCUGUAAUGGCAGGAACUCGGAUAGUCUGGUCUUCAGACCAGGAGGACUCCCAGGAGAGAACGGAGAGCCAGUGUGCUGUGUGUCACGGUCCCUGGAUGAACGUUUGUGGAACUGGAUUGAAUUAAACAAGACGUGCAAAGCAAGUGGUUCACGAGGGUCUUGCUCCGUCGCCCAGUCUGGAGUGCAGUGGCAAGAUCUCUGCUCAGUGCAGCCUUGAACUCUCAGGCUCAAGAAAUCUUCCCGCCUCAGCCUCCCAAAGUGCUGGGAUUACAGAUUCGAUUGCUGUAGGGACCCCGUGGGUGUGGAAUCAGACAGUAUUGGUCCUUUCAUGACUGGCUUAUUUCACAAAACCCGAUGCCGUCGAGGUCCAUCCAUGCUGAGAUAUUUACGGAGCAUCCCCAGCUGCUGGAUGCUGGGACCCACCAGUGGGCAAGAGGGCCGUGCCCACCCCUUCCUGGAAGAGACACUCACUCAGUAAAUGCAGAGAUUCAGUGUUGGGGUAACCCCAGCACACAGCCCUGAGGGAGGAAGCCCAGUGAUUUGAUCGGAUUUGCUUUUCUCUUCUGCCUCGGAUUCUGUCCAACCCCUGGAAGGACCUCUGAGGUGUCCCGUGGCUGGUUCUAGGCCCCAUUCAAGCCUCCUCCUCCAGGAAGCCUUCCCAGUCCUGGGCAUCUGUAGCCAGCUCGGUGUUUCUCACCUGGGGCCUGGGACGUCUCCCAUUCUGAACUGCCGUGUUUUGGGUUUACUGUUCUCUGGCUUUUGGUCCCAGCCGGACGGUGGCCUCUUGUGUUCAGGGACAAGGCAAGGAGCAUCCAUGCACCCCCACAGUACCCAGGCUGGGUCUGUGCCCGCCAGGCCCCCGGCAAAGCUUGGAUGAUCCGGGCUGGGCUGUUCUCCUGCUGCUCUCCUGCUGCUGGCCUCGCUGUAUCAGCUGAUGGCCAUCGCGCCUCCUGCACCCGUCAUCCCGCCCUGCACGCCCCCGCCACGUGGAUGAGCUCCCUGGGGAGUUAAUGGCUAAUGGAGUCUCCGCUCUCUCUUGUCAAAUGCAGCCAUCAUCCGCUGGUGCUUUAAGGGACUCUCUCCCGUCCCCACCCUAUUCUCAGGUGGCUCCUACCGACACCACCUAAUGGUGAACCCCAACACGAGGACACAGGCAGUGCCCUCUCAGGACCACUGUGGGUGCCACCAGGCACGACUUCCUAAACACCCACAGAGCAAAAACCUGGAAAUUCAGCCGAGGCACUGGGACCCCAACCUCUCCCAGAGUGGCCCCAGCUCCACGGCGUCUGCAUGGCUCUGGCCGUGAGCAGAGCAGCCCCGACCUCCGUCCUGACCCAGGGCGCCGGAGCGCCACUGCGGAUCUCACCACCACACAAGCCAGACCUGCUAGGAAGCCCUUCCCGGCCACCAGCUCUCGGGCGAUGCACACAACAGGGCCUUUUGAAUUCCCUGAGGUUAAGGUUCCCCUUGAGUCUCCUGGGCUACAAGCAAAUCCCCCGAGGGGAGAAGUCCAGGCUGACACAGCCUCCUGCACCCCUGCCUUGGGAGGCCACACCUCGUUUGCCUCUAGAACCGACGACUGGGGAGCACUGUUUGCAGAGUUCUCUCUCUCUGGGUAAGUUCCGGAGCCACAUCUCACUGGAUCCACCACGGCCUGGGUGGACGGCUCUCGUGUGUUUAUAGCUGGGUCCCUCGCUUGGGAGCUGCCUCCGGGUGGGCGGCCUCUCCAGCCUGUUUGAGUGCUCCACCCGGAGCAGGAAGAGGGCCGUGUGCUCUGGGCAGUGGUUCCUUGGGCACUGCAUGGUCCUUGCUUCCCUCCAGGGCCCACCUUCCCUGGCCGCUGCAUCCCAGCCGAGGGCAGGCCCCUUUUGCCAGCUGAAGGCAGAAAGGCCGGCAGCCCUGGGGUGGCGGCGGGCAGAGAAACCCCCCGGAGUGGUCUCCGUUCUUCUAAAAGUGAUGUUGACCCCCGUGUCGCAGGCAGCUGGCAGGGUGGCAGUUCGAUCUGUCGUUACGGGCUUGCACCACUGCGGUCUCCCACCCAGGGAGCAGCUCUGUCCAACCACAGCGAGCCUCCAGCUCCUACCCUCUGCCUGGGCUGGGGCAGAGCCUGGGGUCUGGGUGGGAGAAGCGUGACUCUGGGAUGAGACCUUACAAAGCAGGUUCCUCCUGGGAGUCAGCCCGGGUCUAAACGCAGCUGGGCAUGAAGGGGUGCCAUCGGAUGUCGAGUUAGGAGGACGAGAGACCUCCAGCCCCGGCACCCGCAUGUCUCUUUGGAAACCAGCUUUGGCUGCGCCCCUGGGGACACUGUCUGCCGUGGCCUCCCGCUCUCCUCCCCGGCACAGGCAGGGGGUCUCCCUCCUCCACCGCCACUCCCUUGGCCUCGCCCUCCCCGCCAGGCACCUGGCUUUUCCCCACCGACCCCCCCGGGGGACUGCGGCCCCCAGAAAGGCUGCACUCUGGGAGCAAAGUGGCCUGAAACCAGAGAAAAGAACGCCGGGGGAUUUGGCUUAAACUCGUUAAACCCAAUGAACCCUCUUGCCGAACGAUCGCA
ensembl:lncRNA PSMG3-AS1 PSMG3 antisense RNA 1 (head to head)